GGCACAACAGCCAACGAUAAAAAAUGGAGCAAUACAGAGAAGAUUAGCAUGACCCUUGUGCAAGGAUUACAGACAUCCACAAAAUCAUU
rnacentral:snRNA from 1 species